CGGAGGCAGCAGUGGGGAAUAUUGGACAAUGGGCGCAAGCCUGAUCCAGCCAUGCCGCGUGAGUGAUGAAGGCCCUAGGGUUGUAAAGCUCUUUUGUGCGGGAAGAUAAUGACGGUACCGCAAGAAUAAGCCCCGGCUAACUUCGUGCCAGCAGCCGCGGUAAUACGAAGGGGGCUAGCGUUGCUCGGAAUCACUGGGCGUAAAGGGUGCGUAGGCGGGUCUUUAAGUCAGGGGUGAAAUCCUGGAGCUCAACUCCAGAACUGCCUUUGAUACUGAGGAUCUUGAGUUCGGGAGAGGUGAGUGGAACUGCGAGUGUAGAGGUGAAAUUCGUAGAUAUUCGCAAGAACACCAGUGGCGAAGGCGGCUCACUGGCCCGAUACUGACGCUGAGGCACGAAAGCGUGGGGAGCAAACAGGAUUAGAUACCCCGGU
rnacentral:rRNA from 1 species